CCCGCCCCCAUUGGCCGGAGCGGCGGGAGGCCGGGCUUUCUCAUUGGCUGGUCACCUAUGUUUUUGGAAAGCGGCACUUCUGAUUGGCGGCGGCUGCUCAAUUCUUUGCUGUUGAUUGGCGGGCCGCCUGCCUUCCUGCCCCUCUCUUUUCUAUUGGCUACCGGGCUCAAGCCGUACCUAGGCCCCGCCAUCGCCCGCUGCGAACUGCGCCGCGUGUGCGUGCUUUACUGCCUGACAGUAUCUGCGCCCUGCUCAGCCCGUCGCCUGCCAUCGCAAAGCGUCGCCGCUGCUUGGUAUUACAUAAAUUAUGUUGCUGAUUCUUUUGAGAUUGCUGUUAGGAUUGGCUAUGUACUGUUCAUCUUCAGAAAAUGGCUUGUUGGGGAUUUCACCAAUGGGCUGACUACUUUGAGAACGUUUCAGAUGCAAUGCAGACUGCAAAACUGAGCCUGAAAAUUUCACCAGGUGCAUUCCAAAGGACUGAAAUUUGGCAUUGAUAGUAACGUGGGUAAUUACACGUGCCAUGGCUAUCCUGGGAUAUCACUGGACUUCAUUGAUGUCAAAACAUUUUCAGAAUGGGAGAUUGACAUGCCAAAGCUUGAUGGCUGCUAGUCUAACACAUUGGUUAAAGCAUAGGUUUGUUGACUAACGUUGACCUAAGAGAAAAGGAAAGACUGGGAUGAAAGAGUUUUUCCUGGUUAAGCAAUUCAAACUUAGAUUAUUCUCUUUAAACAAGAUCAAAACCCUGUGAAAUCUUUGCUGUUGUUAAGUAGUAGCUAUGGUUUUCAUCCCAAUGCUUUUUACCAUACUGUCAUGUCUGUUCAUAUAUUUAUUAGCUUCAGGUGAACCUAGACACUGAGUUGUGAUCUUGUAAUGAUUUUUUUUUUCUGACUGAAAUUUCUAAAGUCCUACAUUCCAAAAACAUCCAAACUGCCCAUUGAAAUUCAGUUAGUGAAAUAGGCUGUUGUUGUUCUGGUACUGGCUCCUAGUAUCUUUCAAGCUUUCUACUUUGUGUCUGUUUUCAGGUUCAGCCAAUCUACUGCUUGGAAAACAUGCAGUUGUAGAUUUUUUUUUUAAAGUAGUUAUUGAGCCAGAACAACAUAUACAUUCCAUUCAUUUCACUGCUUUACCACAAGUAGACGUUACUUGCUGUUAAUCUAGAUUUAUGAUUUGUAAUAUUAUAACAUUCUAAGAUUUAUAUCUCAGUAGUUAAUUAAAAAAAAUACUUAUGCAUUCCUUUGCUUGUUUUAGUAAAAUGAUACUUUGAGCUUAAGAGAGAGCUGGGUGCCUUGUUCAAAAACAUGGUCAGAAUUUUUUAAUAUACAGUAGGAUUAGUAAUUUUUUCCACUACACGUUUAUAAAACAAAACAGGCAAAGGUACUUUUCUUGAGCUCUACAAAUACUUCCGAAGGGCAAACAAAAUAAAAGUCUCAUUUUUAUAAUUCA
rnacentral:lncRNA from 1 species